rnacentral:rRNA from 1 species
GGGCAGCGACUCUCUUUUAGUUUUUAGACGACCUUUUUCGAAGGUAUACUUAAAGAGGGGCUUGCGGCACAUUAGUUAGUUGGUAGGGUAAAAGCCUACCAAGACUAUGAUGUGUAGCUGGACUGAGAGGUUGAACAGCCACAUGUGGGACUGAGACACGGCCCAAACUCCUACGGGAGGCAGCAGUAGGGAAUUUUCGGCAAUGGAGGAAACUCUGACCGAGCAACGCCGCGUGAACGAUGAAGUAUUUCGGUAUGUAAAGUUCUUUUAUUGAAGAAGAAAAAAUAGUGGAAAAACUAUCUUGACGAUAUUCAAUGAAUAAGCCCCGGCAAACUAUGUGCCAGCAGCCGCGGUAAUACAUAGGGGGCGAGCGUUAUCCGGAAUUAUUGGGCGUAAAGGGUGCGUAGGCGGUUUGGUAAGUCUAUAGUUUAAUUUCAGUGCUUAACACUGUUCUGCUAUAGAAACUAUCAGACUAGAGUGAGAUAGAGGCAAGUGGAAUUCCAUGUGUAGCGGUAAAAUGCGUAAAUAUAUGGAGGAACACCCAGAGGCGUAGGCGGCUUGCUGGGUCUUUACUGACGCUGAGGCACGAAAGCGUGGGGAGCAAACAGGAUUAGAUACCCUGGUAGUCCACGCCGUAAACGAUGAGUACUAAGUGUCGGGGAAACUCGGUACUGAAGUUAACACAUUAAGUACUCCGCCUGAGUAGUACGUACGCAAGUAUGAAACUUAAAGGAAUUGACGGGACUCCGCACAAGCGGUGGAUCAUGUUGUUUAAUUCGAAGAUACACGAAAAACCUUACCAGGUCUUGACAUACUCUGCAAAGCUAUAGCAAUAUAGUGGAGGUUACCAGGGAUACAGGUGGUGCAUGGUUGUCGUCAGCUCGUGUCGUGAGAUGUUAGGUUAAGUCCUAAAACGAGCGCAACCCUUGUCACUAGUUGCCAGCAUGUUAUGAUGGGCACUUUAGUGAGACUGCCAAUGAAAAAUUGGAGGAAGGUGAGGAUCACGUCAAAUCAUCAUGCCCCUUAUGAUCUGGGCUACAAACGUGAUACAAUGGCUGUUACAAAGAGUAGCUAAAACGCGAGUUUAUAGCCAAUCUCAUAAAAGCAGUCUCAGUUCGGAUUGAAGUCUGCAACUCGACUUCAUGAAGUUGGAAUCGCUAGUAAUCGCGAAUCAGCAUGUCGCCGUAG